UAGAAUGGAAAGGAAACUUGGUGGUGGU
rnacentral:piRNA from 1 species